UACGAAGGGGGCUAGCGUUGUUCGGAUUUACUGGGCGUAAAGCGCACGUAGGCGGAUCGUUAAGUCGGGGGUGAAAUCCUGGAGCUCAACUCCAGAACUGCCUUCGAUACUGGCGAUCUUGAGUCCGGAAAAGGUGAGUGGAACUCCUAGUGCAGAGGUGGAAUUCGUAGAUAUUAGGAAGAACACCAGUGGCGAAGGCGGCUCACUGGUCCGGUACUGACGCUGAGACGCGAAGGCCAGGGGAGCAAACAGG
rnacentral:rRNA from 1 species